GGCUCAGGAUGAACGCUAGCUACAGGCUUAACACAUGCAAGUCGAGGGGAAACGAUAGAGAAAGCUUGCUUUUUCUAGGCGUCGACCGGCGCACGGGUGAGUAACGCGUAUCCAACCUGCCCAUCACUUGGGGAUAACCUUGCGAAAGUAAGACUAAUACCCAAUGACGUCUCUAGAAGACAUCUGAAGGAGAUUAAAGAUUUUAUCGGUGAUGGAUGGGGAUGCGUCUGAUUAGCUUGUUGGCGGGGUAACGGCCCACCAAGGCGACGAUCAGUAGGGGUUCUGAGAGGAAGGCCCCCCACAUUGGAACUGAGACACGGUCCAAACUCCUACGGGAGGCAGCAGUGAGGAAUAUUGGUCAAUGGACGAGAGUCUGAACCAGCCAAGUAGCGUGCAGGAUGACGGCCCUAUGGGUUGUAAACUGCUUUUAUAAGGGAAUAAAGUGAGUCUCGUGAGACUUUUUGCAUGUACCUUAUGAAUAAGGACCGGCUAAUUCCGUG
rnacentral:rRNA from 1 species